rnacentral:rRNA from 1 species
UACGGGGGGGGCAAGCGUUGUUCGGAAUUACUGGGCGUAAAGGGCUCGUAGGCGGCCAACUAAGUCAGACGUGAAAUCCCCAGGCUCAACCUGGGAACUGCGUCUGAUACUGGAUGGCUUGAAUUCGGGAGAGGGAUGCAGAAUUCCAGGUGUAGCGGUGAAAUGCGUAGAUAUCUGGAGGAAUACCGGUGGCGAAGGCGGCAUCCUGGACCGACAUUGACGCUGAGGAGCGAAAGCCAGGGGAGCGAACAGG